rnacentral:misc_RNA from 1 species
GAGGGUCAUGAUGGGGUUUUGUGGAAACCCAAGAAAGUAAAGAUGUUUGAUUGGGAGACUUAUAGUUUGAAUUCAUCACAAGAAUCGGAUGAAUUUUCGUUUUUACCCGAUGGGGGGGAGUAUGGUGGUCUUGGGAAAUUUGAUGGGGGAUUACAUGAACCAAUGAAGGUGAAGAAGACUGGGAAGGGUAAGGAAAAUGGGGUUUUGCAGAAGAAGAAGAAGAAGGUGAAGUCGAAGGAGCUGGGAUUGCCUUCACUGGGGCCCACAGCGACUUUGAUGGAGACUCAAGAAUGUGGUGAGAUGAUGGAACAUAUGGAUGAGGUGAAUUUUGCGUUGGAUGGUUUGAGGAAAGGGCAGCCUGCGAGAAUCAGAAGGGCGAGUUUAUUGUCAUUGCUAUCUAUAUGUGGAACAGCUCAGCAGCGUCGCCUUUUGCGGGCUCACGGGAUGGCAAAAACAAUAAUUGAUACUGUUUUGGGACUCAGCUUUGAUGACUCACCUAGCAACCUUGCUGCAGCAGGUCUAUUCUACAUUUUGACUAGUGAUGGAGGAGAUGACCAUCUUCUUGAUUCACCCAGCUGCAUUCGCUUUCUUAUAAAAUUGUUAAGACCAGUUGCUGCUCCUGCUUCCGUAGCAAAGGCUCCAACUAUUGGGAGCAAACUUUUGGCGAUGCGCU